ACGUAGGUGGCAAGCGUUGUCCGGAUUUAUUGGGUUUAAAGGGUGCGUAGGCGGUGCGGUAAGUCACCUGUGAAAUCUCUGGGCUCAACUCAGAGUCUGCAGGCGAAACUGCCGUGCUUGAGUGUGGGAGAGGUAUGUGGAAUUCCCGGUGUAGCGGUGAAAUGCGUAGAUAUCGAGAGGAACACCUGCGGCGAAGGCGGGUUGCUGGGCUGACACUGACGCUGACAGCGCGAAAGCUAGGGGAGCGAACGGGA
rnacentral:rRNA from 1 species